rnacentral:rRNA from 1 species
UACGUAGGUGGCAAGCGUUGUUCGGAAUUACUGGGCGUAAAGGGUUCGUAGGCGGUGCGGCAAGUCGAAAGUGAAAUCUCUGGGCUUAACUCAGAGGCUGCUUCCGAAACUGCCGUGCUAGAGUGCGGGAGAGGCGAGUGGAAUUGCAGGUGUAGCGGUGAAAUGCGUAGAUAUCUGCCGGAACACCCGUGGCGAAGGCGGCUCGCUGGACCGCAACUGACGCUGAGGAACGAAAGCUAGGGGAGCAAACAGG